rnacentral:rRNA from 1 species
GAUGAACGCUGGCGGCGUGCCUAAUACAUGCAAGUCGAGCGAACGGACGAGAAGCUUGCUUUUCUGAUGUUAGCGGCGGACGGGUGAGUAACACGUGGAUAACCUACCUAUAAGACUGGGAUAACUUCGGGAAACCGGAGCUAAUACCGGAUAAUAUUUUGAACCGCAUGGUUCAAAAGUGAAAGACGGUCUUGCUGUCACUUAUAGAUGGAUCCGCGCUGCAUUAGCUAGUUGGUAAGGUAACGGCUUACCAAGGCAACGAUGCAUAGCCGACCUGAGAGGGUGAUCGGCCACACUGGAACUGAGACACGGUCCAGACUCCUACGGGAGGCAGCAGUAGGGAAUCUUCCGCAAUGGGCGGAAGACUGACGGAGCAACGCCGCGUGAGUGAUGAAGGUCUUCGGAUCGUAAAACUCUGUUAUUAGGGAAGAACAUAUUUGUAAGUAACUGUGCACAUCUUGACGGUACCUAAUCAGAAAGCCACGGCUAACUACGUG